rnacentral:rRNA from 1 species
AGGACACUCUAUACGGAGUUACAAAGGACGACAUUAGACGAAUCAUCUGGAAAGAUGAAUCAAAGAAGGUAAUAAUCCUGUAGUCGAAAAUGUUGUCUCUCUUGAGUGGAUCCUGAGUACGACGGAGCACGUGAAAUUCCGUCGGAAUCUGGGAGGACCAUCUCCUAAGGCUAAAUACUCUCUAGUGACCGAUAGUGAACCAGUACCGUGAGGGAAAGGUGAAAAGCACCCCGGAAGGGGAGUGAAAUAGAACCUGAAACCGUGUGCUUACAAGUAGUCAGAGCCCGUUAAUGGGUGAUGGCGUGCCUUUUGUAGAAUGAACCGGCGAGUUACGAUUUGAUGCAAGGUUAAGCAGUAAAUGUGGAGCCGUAGCGAAAGCGAGUCUGAAUAGGGCGUUUAGUAUUUGGUCGUAGACCCGAAACCAGGUGAUCUACCCUUGGUCAGGUUGAAGUUCAGGUAACACUGAAUGGAGGACCGAACCGACUUACGUUGAAAAGUGAGCGGAUGAACUGAGGGUAGCGGAGAAAUUCCAAUCGAACCUGGAGAUAGCUGGUUCUCUCCGAAAUAGCUUUAGGGCUAGCCUCAAGUGAUGAUUAUUGGAGGUAGAGCACUGUUUGGACGAGGGGCCCCUCUCGGGUUACCGAAUUCAGACAAACUCCGAAUGCCAAUUAAUUUAACUUGGGAGUCAGAACAUGGGUGAUAAGGUCCGUGUUCGAAAGGGAAACAGCCCAGACCACCAGCUAAGGUCCCAAAAUAUAUGUUAAGUGGAAAAGGAUGUGGCGUUGCCCAGACAACUAGGAUGUUGGCUUAGAAGCAGCCAUCAUUUAAAGAGUGCGUAAUAGCUCACUAGUCGAGUGACACUGCGCCGAAAAUGUACCGGGGCUAAACAUAUUACCGAAGCUGUGGAUUGUCCUUUGGACAAUGGUAGGAGAGCGUUCUAAGGGCGUUGAAGCAUGAUCGUAAGGACAUGUGGAGCGCUUAGAAGUGAGAAUGCCGGUGUGAGUAGCGAAAGACGGGUGAGAAUCCCGUCCACCGAUUGACUAAGGUUUCCAGAGGAAGGCUCGUCCGCUCUGGGUUAGUCGGGUCCUAAGCUGAGGCCGACAGGCGUAGGCGAUGGAUAACAGGUUGAUAUUCCUGUACCACCUAUAAUCGUUUUAAUCGAUGGGGGGACGCAGUAGGAUAGGCGAAGCGUGCGAUUGGAUUGCACGUCUAAGCAGUAAGGCUGAGUAUUAGGCAAAUCCGGUACUCGUUAAGGCUGAGCUGUGAUGGGGAGAAGACAUUGUGUCUUCGAGUCGUUGAUUUCACACUGCCGAGAAAAGCCUCUAGAUAGAAAAUAGGUGCCCGUACCGCAAACCGACACAGGUAGUCAAGAUGAGAAUUCUAAGGUGAGCGAGCGAACUCUCGUUAAGGAACUCGGCAAAAUGACCCCGUAACUUCGGGAGAAGGGGUGCUCUUUAGGGUUAACGCCCAGAAGAGCCGCAGUGAAUAGGCCCAAGCGACUGUUUAUCAAAAACACAGGUCUCUGCUAAACCGUAAGGUGAUGUAUAGGGGCUGACGCCUGCCCGGUGCUGGAAGGUUAAGAGGAGUGGUUAGCUUCUGCGAAGCUACGAAUCGAAGCCCCAGUAAACGGCGGCCGUAACUAUAACGGUCCUAAGGUAGCGAAAUUCCUUGUCGGGUAAGUUCCGACCCGCACGAAAGGCGUAACGAUUUGGGCACUGUCUCAACGAGAGACUCGGUGAAAUCAUAGUACCUGUGAAGAUGUAGGUUACCCGCGACAGGACGGAAAGACCCCGUGGAGCUUUACUGUAGCCUGAUAUUGAAAUUCGGCACAGCUUGUACAGGAUAGGUAGGAGCCUUUGAAACGUGAGCGCUAGCUUACGUGGAGGCGCUGGUGGGAUACUACCCUAGCUGUGUUGGCUUUCUAACCCGCACCACUUAUCGUGGUGGGAGACAGUGUCAGGCGGGCAGUUUGACUGGGGCGGUCGCCUCCUAAAAGGUAACGGAGGCGCUCAAAGGUUCCCUCAGAAUGGUUGGAAAUCAUUCAUAGAGUGUAAAGGCAUAAGGGAGCUUGACUGCGAGACCUACAAGUCGAGCAGGGUCGAAAGACGGACUUAGUGAUCCGGUGGUUCCGCAUGGAAGGGCCAUCGCUCAACGGAUAAAAGCUACCCCGGGGAUAACAGGCUUAUCUCCCCCAAGAGUUCACAUCGACGGGGAGGUUUGGCACCUCGAUGUCGGCUCAUCGCAUCCUGGGGCUGUAGUCGGUCCCAAGGGUUGGGCUGUUCGCCCAUUAAAGCGGUACGCGAGCUGGGUUCAGAACGUCGUGAGACAGUUCGGUCCCUAUCCGUCGUGGGCGUAGGAAAUUUGAGAGGAGCUGUCCUUAGUACGAGAGGACCGGGAUGGACAUACCUCUGGUGUACCAGUUGUCGUGCCAACGGCAUAGCUGGGUAGCUAUGUGUGGACGGGAUAAGUGCUGAAAGCAUCUAAGCAUGAAGCCCCCCUCAAGAUGAGAUUUCCCAACUUCGGUUAUAAGAUCCCUCAAAGAUGAUGAGGUUAAUAGGUUCGAGGUGGAAGCAUGGUGACAUGUGGAGCUGACGAAUACUAAUCGAUCGAAGACUUAAUCAA